AACAGGACAAAAAUACAGACAGACUUCUUACAGACUGUGAGGCAUGAAAUGCUGCAUGAUACAGUAUUGAUUUCAACAUUUUAGCACUGUGUUAGGUGGAUGUGGUAGCUCAGUGGAUAAGGUGUUUUCCCAUUGACCCGAAGAUUGUAAGGAUCCCAGGGCCACCAAGCUGUCACCCCUGGGCCCCUGAGCAAGGUCCAUAACCCCCAUUUUCUCAGCUAUGUAGGAUAAAUCUCAGGAUCAGGCAGGUCCAAAGAGCAGAAACAACAAAUCCCCCACACAUCAGUGAGCCUUGGGUGCAAAUGACCCUGUUGCCAUUUUACCAGUUGUUCUUCCUCAGACCACUUUUACUUAUGGAUUUUUGAAGAUUUGGCUGUUCUCAAGGACUCAGGGGUAGACCUGCCAGCAGAGAGUUGCAGUAGUCCACUCUCAAAAUGACAAGAGACUAAACAUGCACCUGAUCAGCCUGUGUGGAUAAAAAUGGGCAAAUCUGUUUGAAUAUAAAAUAUGUUAUUCACUUAUAAAGCACUAAA